GGGAAUCUUCCGCAAUGGACGAAAGUCUGACGGAGCAACGCCGCGUGAACGAUGAAGGCUUUCGGGUCGUAAAGUUCUGUUGUCAGGGAAGAACAAGUACCGGAGUAACUGCCGGUACCUUGACGGUACCUGACCAGAAAGCCACGGCUAACUACGUGCCAGCAGCCGCGGUAAUACGUAGGUGGCAAGCGUUGUCCGGAAUUAUUGGGCGUAAAGCGCGCGCAGGCGGUUCCUUAAGUCUGAUGUGAAAGCCCCCGGCUCAACCGGGGAGGGUCAUUGGAAACUGGGGAACUUGAGUGCAGAAGAGGAGAGCGGAAUUCCACGUGUAGCGGUGAAAUGCGUAGAGAUGUGGAGGAACACCAGUGGCGAAGGCGGCUCUCUGGUCUGUAACUGACGCUGAGGCGCGAAAGCGUGGGGAGCGAACAGGAUUAGAUACCCUGGUAGUCCACGCCGUAAACGAUGAGUGCUAAGUGUUAGAGGGUUUCCGCCCUUUAGUGCUGCAGCAAACGCAUUAAGCACUCCGCCUGGGGAGUACGGCCGCAAGGCUGAAACUCAAAGGAAUUGACGG
rnacentral:rRNA from 1 species